GAGCCUAGUGGCUGCCUGGGUAAGGUUAGGCGCAAAGUGUAGGAGUCGCCUGCAGAAGCCACCCUGACGCUUUGCUCUGCGCAGUUCUCUGUAUUUAAAAGACAACGUGAAAUUCUAGGCAGCAUCGCCGGGUUCUAGGCGCGCGCACGCUCAGCCCUGUGGCAGCUCGUGACUUUAAUAGCCAAAGACUGCACAGGAGCGGUUGCGGCCACUGAAAACUGAUCCGAGGACUGCUGCAGUGACAGAGGGAGCUCUGGUGCUCCGUGCCUUGUCUUCCCAAGUGUUUCCUCUAGCCAUCGGCCAUACCAUUUUACGUUUGACACCAAAUGAUUGUUAAAUGGUGCGUUUAACUCCCCAAGCCGCCUGGAACUAAGCAAAAAGAGCUGCCUACUAUGUAUGUUGGAUGAGGAAAAAACACUGCAAACAAGCACUGCUUACCAAAGUUCUCACAUCUAGGUCCACACCAGAUCACUGGUUCUGACCUACAAAGGAUGCAGAAUCCAGCCAUUCAUCUGGGCCACCACCUCUGCCCCAUUCCGGUUUCUAUGUUUCUUGAAUAAAUUAUUUCCAUCAGCACAAAUGAGUCCUGCUUCAUCUCUACUUUUGAAAGAAACAUCUCUAAAUGCAGAACUUGGAUCAAGUUCAACAUCAUGGAUCCCUUCCAGCUUAGACUGACUAUCAAAUAAUUCCAGAGGGCAUAUUUUUCUGUUCCUAGAUAGGAAUACAUGUGGUGUUAUUAUAAUUAAAAAAUCAAUCAAUGAAACAAAAU